rnacentral:rRNA from 1 species
AACGAACGCUGGCGGCGUGCCUAACACAUGCAAGUCGUGCGAGAAAGUUCCUUCGGGAGCGAGUAAAGCGGCGCACGGGUGAGUAACACGUAGGUAACCUGCCCCCCAGUCUGGAACAACUAGAGGAAACUCUAGCUAAUGCCGGAUGAGACCACGAUCCCUUCGGGGGUUGCGGCCAAAGAUGGCCUCUACUUGUAAGCUAUCGCUGAGGGAUGGGCCUGCGGGCCAUUAGCUUGUUGGUGAGGUAACGGCUCACCAAGGCUGUGAUGGCUAGCUGGUCUGAGAGGAUGACCAGCCACACUGGGACUGAGACACGGCCCAGACUCCUACGGAGGCAGCAGUGGGGAAUAUUGCGCAAUGGGCGAAAGCCUGACGCAGCGACGCCGCGUGGGUGAUGAAGGCC